UUUUCCGGUUGAUUCCUGCCGGACCCUAUUGCUAUCGGGGUGAGACUAAGCCAUGCAAGUUGAGCGCUUCCUAGCUAUGUUGGAAGAGCAGCAAACGGCUCCAUAACACGUAGUUAAUCUGCCCUUGGGACAGACAUAACCUUGGGAAACUGAGGCUAAUAUCUGAUAGGUGGAAACGCCUGGAAUGGUCUUCCGCUUAAAGGUUCACGGAUACAUGCUUCUAAGAAUGCCUAAGGAUGAGACUGCGGCCGAUCAGGCUGUUGGUGAGGUAACGGCUCACCAAACCUAUAACCGGUACGGGCCCUGAGAGGGGGAGCCCGGAGAUGGGAACUGAGACAAGGUCCCAGGCCCUACGGGGCGCAGCAGGCGCGAAACCUCCACAAUGCGCGAAAGCGUGAUGGGGUUACCCCGAGUGCCGUCCGUUGAGGAGGGCUUUUCCCCAGUGUAAGGAGCUGGGGGAAUAAAGGGGGGGCAAGACUGGUGUCAGCCGCCGCGGUAAUACCAGCCCCCUGAGUUAUAGGGACGAUUAUUUAGCCUAAAGCGUUCGUAGCCGGCUUUGCAAGUCUUUCGUUAAAUCUAACGACUCAAUCGUUAGGCCGCGGAAGAUACUGCUAGGCUUGAGGGCGGAAGAGGUCGACGGUAUUCCCGGGGUAGGGGUGAAAUCCAAUAAUCCCGGGAGGACCACCAGUGGCGAAGGCGGUCGACCAGAACGCGCCUGACGGUGAUGGGCGAAAGCUGGGGGAGCGAACCGGAUUAGACACCCGGGUAGUCCCAGCUGUAAACGAUGCGAGCUAGGUGUUGGGGUAGCUACGAGCUGCUCCAGUGCCGCAGAGAAGUCGUUAAGCUCGCCGCUUGGGGAGUACGGCCGCAAGGUUGAAACUUAAAGGAAUUGGCGGGGGAGCACCACAAGGGGUGAAGCCUGCGGUUUAAUUGGAGUCAACGCCGGAAAUCACUAGU
rnacentral:rRNA from 1 species